GUAAGUGUUUUCUGCAAGCAGGAGUGCUAGUUCAUCCUGCUUGUUCCUCAUGCUCCUAGCAUUAGUGUAUAGGCACUUGAGCCCUGUGACUAGCACCUUUGUUGCCCCUGGCUCUGAUGCCCAAUGGACCUUAUUGCUUACCUGUUUAUUGCUUACCUGUGCUGGUGCUGCUGGACGUCCUAUGGAUUCCAGGUUCCUGAUGUUCUCCUUCUUCUUCCUCUCCGUCCCCUGUCUGAGCUAGUUUAAAGCCUGAUGUAGGAGAUCAGCCAACCUGUUGGAGAAAAGACUUUUACCUUUUGCUAAGAAGUGAAGUCCAUUGCGCGCCAGGAAGUCCCUUGCCAGGAAGUGUGGGUCGUAGUCCUGGAAGCAAAAUCCUGCAUUAUGGCACCAACUCUUGAGCCGCAAGUUGACCUCUCUGAUGCAGGCACUGUGAUGCCUACUGUGACCUCUGACCGGGAAGAUGGACGAGAAGACCACCUGCACCCCCGUUUCCCUAAGCCUGGCCCCCAGAGCCCUGUAGUCACCCAUGACAUGGUCAGGACUACUCCUGGCUGCAUCAUUGGUUCCCACAUGGAUGAGGACCAUGGGAUAGAAGUCCGAGGGCCGGAUCAGGUCAGGAAUCCUUGUCGUGACAUCCCGGAUCUUGGCCCCUGGCAGGCAACACACCUCACAUGCCAUGGGACCUGGGUGGCAAAUGUUUCCCUCUGCUCCUCUCAGUAGGGAGUCGCCCACUACGAUGACCCAUCUCCUCUUCCUCCGGUAGCUUGUCUGGCCCUCAGCUUGCUCGGGGAUGGAUUGGGCUGCCUCUCAUGUCGUUUUCUCCAUCACACUCUCCUCCAGUGCAGUCAGGGCUACGUAUCUGUUCUACAACUGCACCAGUGGAUCCAUUUCAAGGGCGAGCAGCCUGGCCCUGGAGGUGACUGUCGUCCAUCCUUCCAUAUCAGCUUCAGGGCUUCCAUGUUUCUUCUCCAGACCAAUGUCCAAGUAUCUUCUCCAGACCACACUGAAUCCAUGCUCUAAGCAAACAAAACCCACAGGACUGAGUUGGAGAAGCCCCUUUUCAGCCCCCCUCUAUUUCCAUCCCUUCUGCCCCACCCCACACCAUCAUCCACUGCAGCCCCCAUUGUGAUGUCACUGGUGUCCCUGGAGACGGAGGCACACAAGAGUCCUGUGACCAGCAGAGCUCAGUGCGGAUGCAGCAGUGGUCGGAGGUGGAAGCUGCAUCUGUGCUCGGUGCUGUUCAGGGUAUAGUGGUUUAUCCACAGCAUCAGGAUCCCUGCUGUGCUUCUGUGAGAGUCAGGACCCCAGUUGCAGGGUGUGAAUGAAAGGGACCUUCUGGGCUUGGUGGUAGUGGUCACUUCUUCCCCUCCCUGCCCAGCUGCCAAACAAUGGCAUCAAGAGGAAAUAUUUUCCAUCUCCUGAAGAAGGUAAGAGGAGUUGGUCUCAGGAGGGUGAGAUUUGAGUUGGUAAAAAGAAAUGGGGAUGGAUAGGGUUUGUGAUGACUUGUGGGGAGAGGAGGGAGUGUGGAGAUGGCAGUGGGAGGGCUGUACCUGUUGAGAAGGGAAAGAUGGCAGAAGAGCUCGAUUGGGGCGGGGGAGGAGGAAGGACAGAUGGGAAAGGAAUAGGGGGCCUCAAGACAGGAUGGUGAGAAUGAGCGGCCAGAGCUGGGGCUAUAUGUGGGGCAGUUUCAGGGUCAGCAGGGACCUCAAGGCAUUAUCCAUUCCAUCCACCUGUUUGGAGGCAGGAUCAGCGACACCUAGACCACCACACACAAAGGGGUGUGUCACCUGGUCUUAAAACCUGCAGUGAUGGUGAUUCAACAAUCCUCCCUCUUCCAGUCCACAGAUAUCCUUACAGCUAGAAAGUUCUUCCUAAUUUCCAACUUCCUUUAAGAUGGUUUGUUUUCAUGCUCCUCCAAGGGAACAAAGAAUCACGGUCAUCUUCAGAAAACUUUUUUUCACACCUUUAAAUGCUAGGAACCUAUCUCCCCCUCCACCCUAGCCUGCUCAGGGGGGGAAUCAGGCUCAGUACUUUCACUCUUUCCAUGUCGGUCAUGUUUUCCAGCCCCUUCUCAUUCAUGUUGCUCUCUUCUGAACGUCCUCCAAUGUGUCAACUUCUUUCUGAAAGUCUGGGGUCCAGAACAGGACGUGGGGCUCUAGCUGAGGCCUCUCCAGCACUGGGGAGAGUAAAGUUGCUUUUCACAGUCUACAGUGCACCUGUUAGGACAACCUGGAAGAACACCCACCCUUCUUUUUGUUGCUUCACUUACUUUCUGACAUAAGGGGGGCCAAGCUCUAUUUUGGUUUGGGCCUGAACUAGAAGUAGUGCCCAACCACAGUUCUUGGUUGGCGAUAAACUGCUAAAGGGACAAAAGUAGGCCCAGGCCUAUUUCACUGGGCCUGCACUGGGCAGCAAAAAGCCAAGCAGACCUACACACCACUGAGGCCUGAAUAAGCAACAAGAAGAACCAGAGCUUCAUCCUAGCUCAAAUCUGACAGCCAAGCAUAUGGCUGGGGUUCAGCCCCACACCAGUGGGCUGAAAUGCAGCAGCUGUUAUGGCUGCAGCCUGGUCAUGUAAUCUCAUCUAUAGCACCACGCUGAGACACUACAAUCCCCAACACACUGACUACCAGGACCCUGUUUCCUGGACAGUCUCCAUUAGUCUCCAUGAUACUCUCUAAGCAUCAUCCCACUCAAGGCCUGCACAGCUGGUAGCUGCCAAGACCCUGCGCCUGGGCAGCCCGCACUAGGGGAGGAUACAUCCAUGGCAUCAUCCCGCUCAAGGUCUGUGUGGCCAAAACAGCCAGCAAGACACACAGCUUGGGUUCAGUGACACAACUAUGCUAACCCCAAAAGAAGUUGCAGCAGCAACUAAAAGAUGCUAGGCUCUCAGCCCUGGCGCACAGCGUGCCAGCAAAACUGCCACGUUUCAACCUUGGCCAGUUUGCCGCAGGGAUUGAUGUUCCCCACAUGACUUCAUCCCAUGGAAAAAAAACAGAAAACAAAAGGGGAAAGCAGAGGGAGAGAACAGAGGUCUCAAGCUGUGAGACAGACUUUCUCUCCCUGUCCCUGAGGCUUGCCCUGCACAUUGCUUCACUGGUAAAGAGCAGGGGUGACCCCCACCCAUGGGAAUGAGGCUUUUUUGGCUCCCAAAUCAGCAUUCAGACUUCAGCAUCCCAGGAAGAAGAGAGAACAGACCAAGUGGUCGCAACUUUAAAUAACUUUUCUGACCUCAUCCAGGGCCCCAGCCAAAAAGCAGCCGUAUUGGACCACAGUUAAUGCUGACCAGUCCAUUCGAAGGCGGUCGGCUCUCCAGGAUUUGGCCAGAGUCACUCAGCUGGGUUCUAAACAGAACGGGUCAGAGCACGUGCAUAGGCACCCUGUGGGUGACACUCCCAAACAGCUAGGAGGCUUUUGUCGGCUGGUUAGAGCUGUAGCGCCGACUGAAAUUGUUUCUAGUGAUCCCCUUGGUUUAAUGGCACAAUCUCACCUGAGUUGGUGGAGCAGAGAUGGAGCCAUUCCUGUGGGAGCAGGUUUUGGAAACUGCUCAGCUAGUUAAAAUUCCCCCGAGGGAAACAACCUGGGGAAUGUGCUGUGCCCACAGAGGCUUUCCCUAGGAAGGACUGACAUCUGGCUGUGCCCGCUCCUUAUUGCUGGCCUACUCCUUCUGUCCUUACAGAGCAAACAGUACCCACUGUCUCUGGCUUUGCUUCAGUUUCAUUAUGUGUGAUUUACUUGUGUCCUAUGUUUGACUGAUGCUUAGUUUUGCUGGAGGCACAAAACCCUUGGAAGACUGUCUGACUACCUGGGUUUCCUUUUCUCAGCCUCUGGCAAAACAAACGCCUGCUUCCAAAGGUGGCCAGGCUGUUCCCUGAACUCCUUGCCAGGUAUCCUGGCCUCCCUUUCAGGCGACAGCUGCCUUCUGCUCUCACUUAGUAGGUAGACUCUCUUUCUGCCCGUGGGGACUCCUUGUCUCCAGGCAUAAGGAGAAUCCAUAGUGUGGCAAGCUCUCUUUUUAACUAUGCCCCUCCUCCUCUCAGGGUGCAAUGCACGGUCCCUUAUUUGUAGGCAUCAUCUGAUUUUUUUGCCCCUACCUGGGCUGUUCUCUUUCUUAGCAUUUAGACUGGUCUUCUGGGAAUGUUUCCUGGAAAGAGAGCUGAGCAGUGGGUGUCUGGGGAUAUGGAGACCUUGAACUAGAGGAGAUGCUACUUCCUCUGAAGGAAAUAGUCCCAUUUCUGUUCAGUUGUGAAGUGAAAUCUCACCCCUGUGAGCAUGGCAAGUGUCUGAGGAUUUGGUUUUUCAGGCUGAGAGGCUGCCAACCCUCCUCUCCUCUGUGUUCCCAACUUUUUGCUCCUCCAUUGUCAGACUGGAUCUUUCUCCAGCUCAUGUUCAUGGCCAGAGAAUAUGACCGGAAGGGGUGCAGCUUAGAGGUAUAUAAGCCCAGGGCCUGAGGCAAAAGGGGCAGUCUUGCCCUGCAUGCUGGGGGGAAGGAGCUCCUGGGAGAGAGAGGCCUCAUGAAACAGCACCAUGGACACCCAUGCUACCCAGGGGUGCCUCCUGUUUGCAUCUUUGAAAUCUUUGCUGUUGCGUUGGACACCUUUCUGUCUCACCACUUUGGGACUGAAAUGUCUCAAGGUCCAACUAGUAACAGAAUAUUCAUCAUGCAUCUGGCAGCGUCCACCAGGGCCACCCCGCUGCAGGGGAGCGUGGCAGGGUGGAACAGGUGCUUUGGCACCCUUUAAAAGUGAGCAGCUGGGGCAGUGGGAGACACCAGCACCGGUUAGUUCUUUUCGUCCCCCACCCCAUCCUGAAAGGGCUGGUGUGGUCCUAGUGUCUGCCCUCAGGCUAGGCCUGUGUCGCUCCCCAGGCAGAUCUCUUGGCACUUAGAAGCCGCACUGCUUCCAGCAAAUGAGCCCAUUGCACGGAGGUGCUGCUGUUCUGCUGCUGGGACAGCUGCUGCCUGAGCACCCAGUUUCCCGCCAGUUACCAUGUGUUUGCGAGCCCCAACCUAUGCUGGGAGAUGCAGGGCUGGGGCUCCCCUGCCAUGCUGGGGACCUGGGCUGAGCUCAGGUGGAGACCAAGGCAGAACCAGAAGGUCACUUGGCCCUAGGCAGAAUCUGCAAGCUCCAGGGGUUUUCCUCAGGGAACAGCUGAAGGCCUGGAGGUGGAGGGACCCCUUGUUUGAUCAGCAACCACCUUAGCUUGUGGAAAAUACCUUUUGCUUAUGGCCUUGAUCUUUUCAGAGGGCAUGGACCAAGGAAGCUGCCAUGUCUGGGAAGAAGAGGCCAUGCCAUGCCAGGGCAGGAAGAGACAGGAAGAACUUGGAGUCCUGGUCAGCUUAGACCCACUGGGAAGGGGAGGAUCCAGCAUGUCUUGGAGUCAUUGCAAAAGAUUCCAGGCAAGAACUGUGCAGCUAGGUGCGGCAUCCAAAAUCUGCUUUCUACGGGAUAUCUCUUGACAACUAGGAGCCACACAGCUGGGACUCAGGGGAAGUCUUCUUCGCUCUCACUGAUGCCGUGUCACGAUGCCUUUCGCUGCAGCCACUGAAGAUGAUUCUACGGCUGUGCUAUGGCGGUUCCCACGCCUCUCUGGGAACAUGGACUGUGACCCGCGGCCCCCGGCUCCCUCCUGGACCUGGUCUGCAGGACAUCAAGCAUGAAGGAGUGGAUGUGGGGACUGUACGAUGUAGGGCAGAAAAUCAGCACCAGAAAGCUACUCCUUCUGUUCUGCCCCCUCCCUCUCCAGCCCUCACCACCCUCCCUGACUCUCCUUUCCCCCUAUAUAUUAUGUUAGGUUAGGUUAAGUUAUAUUAUAUUGUUUUAUUUCCUAUUGUAUUGUGUUGAACUGCCUUGUAGUAUAUAUUACUUGCUGGUUAUUUAUGUGCCUCUGUGCUUCUUUAGACAGAUAUAGCUAUUUGUCAUAACCUGCCAAUAAAAUGCAACUGUGCUGACAUCCAUCUGGGACAACUGGGUACAAAGCAGCAGUUGUUCCAUCCUGCUCCCUCUGUGUUGGGCUGUGUAGUGUGUGCAGAUACACUGGACCAUCCUGAUUCCCCAUCCCAUCCCAGUGCUGGUGCACAGCUUCUUCAGGCCUUGGCACAUUCAGGAAGGCAGGAGGGGAAAUACGUUGGGAACAAGCAGACCAGAGGCACAGCCUGUGCGUGGUCAUGCAGGGGAGGACGCUGCCCCGCUUUCCUGCUUUGUAGACCUAAAAAGGCCCCUGGUGGGUGCUACCCUGGCAUAGUCUGAUCUCAGUUCCUGUCCGGAUUCAGAAGACUGAGGCAUCUGGGAAGCAGGGAACCAGUGCCACCAGCCUGUGAGCUAUGCAGUGGGUGUGGGGGUGCGACCACAAAACGACACCCUCUGGAAGACCUGAGAGUGCCUGCAGCAACAAGAGAGGCUAGGCUCCUCUCCUAUUCCUGCAGCACCCGCCAUACUGUAGUCUCUCUCCCCUGGCUCCCUCUUACCUCUCAGUGCUGGGGCUGAACCCAUAGCAUAGCAAAGCCAGGUCAUACAGCUCUCCCCACUGCACUGUGGAGCUGGCCUGGGAGAGGGCUUCUUUCCUGGCUGAUUGCCGCUCCCCUGCAGUGAGUGUCACUGCUCUGGGUGGGCAGACCCCGAAGUGCCUGAAGAGUCCCAAGGAGAGCUGUGCAAACCCUCCUCCACUACGCAGAAUUGGAGUGGGUGGAUAUUGGAGACGUCCUGUGUAGGAGAACAUGGCAGGAAAUGACAAAGGCAGGUUUUCAGGUUGAUGCCCCUGUGAUAUCACUGUGCAUCUGCCAUCACCCCACACCCACUGUCCGGCUCACCCCAGCAGGGUGCGGGAGUAUCCCUUUGGGGAGUGAACAGCAACACCAGCACCUGCCAUAACAGUGGCCAUGUGUAGGAAGCUGGCGAGUCCCCGUUUCCUGCCCCCUCACAGUUCAGGCAGGGCCCACAGCUGGCCCAGAAUGACUGCAUUUCCCCAUAUUUUAGGAAAGGCCCAAUUUAACCACCUUAGCAGCAGCAGGAUGUUUGCUGUUGUGGCCCCCCCAUAGCCAUGAAAACUGCCAGUGUCCACUUCUGUGAGGCAUUGCAUUGUAAAUGAGCUUGUGAAAAAGCCACUGGUUAAAGCAGCUGUAAACUUGGUCAAAACAGAAACUCUGUCAGGGAUGGUGGCGCAAAGGUGUUCAAAAAGAAAACAAGCGUGAUAAGAAAAGUCUGCCUGGUUGGGGUAUUUGUGCCAACAGGGUUUUAGAGAGAGAUCCAAGAGUGAAACCUUAGUGAUGCAAAUAACCUGCAAAGGGGCAGUAGCAGCAGUCAUUGUCAUGGGGGAAAUAACAAGAUGAAAAUAACAAAAGGCAUAAAGAAAUGUUGGGCACAAAGGGCAGGUGGACUAUUAGACUGCUGCACUACUAGAGUGCCCCCAGAAUGGCCCAGCCAGACCCCGGACUGUCAGAUCAACAGGGGUAGAGAGGAAGACUUACUUGUGAGGUAGCGAGUGCAUUUCUAGGCAUGGGAGUAUGUGCUGGCUGCUGAGAAAACCUACGUGAGUGGAGUGAAAACUCCUCUCUCUCGAGCUUUCUUUCUCCCAAAGACUCCCUGGGUCCCCAGUCCAAAGUACUGUGGUAACCCCUCUGCUUUAGCUGUGGCUGGUUUGCGUGUUAUGUCCGGUGUAGCGUCAGGGUUGACUGUAACGUUGCUAAGAGGCCAGUCAGUGGAUGUGCCUGGGAUGGGUUGGCCAGGGCUGGUCCUGCCUCAGGCAGGAGUUAGAUGUGAGCUCUGGAGGUCCCUCCCAGCCCCACUGCUCUGGGAUCCUGUCAUCUGACUGGAUCAGUGCUCAGCCCUGCUGCCUGGGGCUGUGCCUGGGCUGCCCAGGGGGACUGCAGCAUGAGGGGAGCAGCGGGUGCUUAGCACAGCCAUUGCUUUUGGGGUAGUCAAGGCCUAAGUGAAACCUGGCUUUUCCUUCCAGUGAGUCCCCAGGAGCUGAGAAGCAGAGAUGCGGUCUGUUCUGUUAUCAGCAUCAAGAAAAGAAGCAGGGCUGAGUGGCGCAGAGCUGUGUCUCGCUGGAGAGGCAGGAGGGGUUUAGCACCAUGUUGGGUGAGGUGAUGAGCAGGAUCAGAUGGGUUUUCACAGAAGGGGUUUUGCUCCCCUGGUCUGUGACUUUCUCAGUCAAGUAAGUGUCAGGAGCCACUGGCAGCUCCGUGUGUGCAGAGGUAGCAGGUGUCAUAACCCAAUGAUUUCUAGUGCCUCGGCACAUUGGAAUUUUCCCGCCACAUGGAGCUUUCUUUGCACGGUGGAUUUCUCAGCUGUAGAGAGAAAACCCCGGUGCAAAAGAGCUCCCGCCACAUGCAUCCAAAUUACUGUCCCACUAUUGGUCUAUUCUAAAUUAUUCCUACGUGGCAGCUAGCAAUUGGCUCGCUAGCCGUACAAAAGGCUAGAGCAGUUUCUGCCCAAGUUGGAGGACUCCACAACCAUCUCAUGGAGAACUCUGAGCGCGCUGUGGAGCCUAGCAAACUCCGCGUGUGUCUUGGAGGAGGACAUAGGGGCCUGAUCAGCUCUUAGCCACUCCCCGUCAUAGUGGAAAAUUUGACAUACCCCCGUGUGAAGCGCUCGUGGAGUCAUGCAUCGACGACUCAUCUCGGUUCGGUUCGGAAGAGAUCUCACUAGCGUCUGUUUGUGUGCAACUGCAACUCAAGCAAGUUUCCUUCCUGCACUGUGACCCUCGGCAGUGCAAGUAAAGCUUUCUUUGUAAAACCAAUACGCCUCCGUGCCUAACUCUACUCUGUCAUGGAAAAACCCCACCUGACGGUCCGGGCU